AACUCAUUCAUAUUUUUCAUAUUAAGCAUUGCGCAGAAAAUCAUCCUCCAUCUAUCGACAUGAUAGUUGAGCUUCUACUCUUGUUCCUCCUGCUCAUUUUCUCUUUCCUCCUCUUCUCUUUCUUUACCACUGGAAGUUCAAAAUCUGAAAAAUCUAUCUCCACCCAUCUCCCAAAAUCUUACCCAUUGAUAGGUUCCUCUUUCGCUAUAAAGGCAAACUUCGACCGACGAGUUCAAUGGACGUCGGAUAUUCUCCAAACUAUACCUUCUGCAACAUUUGUCCUCCACCGCCCUUUGGGCCUUCGCCAGAUCUUCACCGGAAACCCGGCCAAUGUCGAACAUAUACUCAAGACUCACUUCCAGCAUUAUCAGAAAGGACCUUUUACUCGACACACUCUCUUCGACUUCCUUGGCAAUGGUAUCUUCAAUUCCGACGGUGACACUUGGAAGUUUCAGAGGCAAGUUGCCAGCCAUGAAUUCAGC
rnacentral:misc_RNA from 1 species